rnacentral:rRNA from 1 species
GCAUCGAUGAAGAACGCAGCGAAAUGCGAUACUUGGUGUGAAUUGCAGAAUCCCGUGAACCAUCGAGUCUUUGAACGCAAGUUGCGCCCCAAGCUCUUAGGCUGAGGGCACGUCUGCCUGGGUGUCACG